GAAAUAGUAGGUCACAUCCAAUAACUCAAAUCAUCGACGUAAGAUCUCUAUCGUUCUAUCCAGUCUUAAUUUUAAUAGAGACAUAUUCAAGUAUAGCCAAGUCUAUCUUAUUCUCUCUUUCUAUAUAUAUCUAUGUAUUUAUGUAUGUAUAUAUGUAUAUAUGUUUCUAUCUAUAUAUGCCUACACGAAUACAUGUAUAUGUCAGUUUAAAAUAAAAUAAAAAAAUAUUUUUUUUAUUUUGCUUGUUAUUUUUGUACUAAUAAUACCUCUCCUAAUUAUCUUAAAAAUAUUCCCCACUCACACCAUUAAAUAUGACAUCCACUUUUUCUUCUUUUUCAAUCAAAUUGGACAUUCUUCCUAAAACUAUCAAACAAAUUGCAUCCUAUCUCUCAGUUCAAUUUGACUCCAAAAUAGAUUAGAUUCUUUGAUUUCACAACUAGAAUAAUUGAACUUUUAUCAUUUGUUUUCUUCUCUCUUCCUCGAAACAUGCAUUGCAUGAGCUCAAUUGCUAGCGCAUACAUACGAACAUGCGUGUGCAUGUUGUAUGUAUGUCUACAUAUAUAUAUAUAUAUGUGUGUGUGUGUGUACAUAAAUAUAAUUUUACUUAGGGAGUGUUUGGUUGAUAACUGAAAUUUAAAUGGGUUGGAAUGAAAAUCAGAAUGGCUAUAUUCUCUCACACAUUUCAUUCGUGAUUGGAAUCGAAAUCAAAAUUGAAAAUUAAUUAAACAAAGAUGUAGUUUUGAAAAAUUAAUUAAAUAGAGGGUAACUUUGGAAAAUUAUUUUUAUAAAAGUAAAUAUGGUGAAAUGGGAUUUGAAUGAUGCAGGAAGAGCUAGAAAUUGGAUUUGGGAGAUUAAGGCAUUUUCAUUUGUCUUCCGGUACACAUGAGUAACCUAAGAGGAUUCACAGUCUCUCACCAUCCACCGUAUAUCGCUAAGAAAAAAAUGAUCAUCUACAUGUCGCUCAGCGUCCCGAAUCUAAUCGAUUACCAUAAUGAAAUCUCCUUCUAGGGUCAUCAAGCUCUCUUUAUAGAUAGUUGUAUAGUGCCACAUGUCACGGCAUGUCAGCCAAGAAAAGAAAAAAAGGAUCUUCCUUUUCUGUACCCUUAGCAUAUCCCUUUCUCUACUCUCUCUCUCUCUCUCAAAACAUGUGUCAACAU
rnacentral:lncRNA from 1 species